GUUUAAAUACCACCCCUAAAACUAAACAAAAAUCAACAUCCAAUUGUUGAAGAAACUUGUCCUGUUUUGUUAAAAUUGAUAUAAUUUGACAUAAGGAUGAUAUUGUAAAAUAUAGCUGAAACAAACAAUAAACAUACGAACAAUUGGUAAUUUAGUGUUUAUUUGUUUUUGAAAAUUUUUUUUCGUGGUGAGAAAAGGACCACGGAACAACAAAGUGAAAAGUUUUGCUUUCACUAGCUGAAGUGAGUUUCAGAUCACACCCGAAUAUGUCAACUUUUUUUUGGAUGGCGCUUGCAAGACAUUAAGUAUUGUUUUCAGUAUGAAACUCAAAAUUUUGUUUUUCCUGUGCGCCUAAAAUUAGUAGCGCAGCAAGAAGUUCGAUGUUUAUGUUGGCUGCCGGUGAGAAAUUCCGUACGAGAAACAUCGGCAUUCUUUUUGUGUAUUUUUCAUUACGCUUCAAUUCCUUUACUAUUGUUUUCUUUCUGUAUAUUUUAAAAUCUUUGAUUUUUGCAUAAAUGGGGAAAAAUUUUUAAUAAAAAAAUGUAGUACAAACCUCAGACUACAA